UAUUACCCUAAACCCUACUGCCCCAAACCCUCCCCCAUUUCGUUCACGCUUUCUGUGCUUCUCUAUCAACACCACCAACUAGAGAGAGAGAGAGAGAGACAAUGGCUUGGCGUGGUUCGCUUUCCAGAUCGGUGAUCGCCACCGCUAGGUCUUCAACCCUCCGCUCAUCGCCGCCUCUCCCCCGCCUCCGUCCUCCGCCGCUCUCCGCCCCUCGCCUCCAACCUCGCCGCCUCUCCUUCACCAAUCCCAGGAAUUUGGGAGAAUUAGGCUGUGUGCAAUCGCUCAUGCCGCUUGUCGCCGGAGCACGCCUCACAUCGCACCUGGCCGUUAACGUGCGGGCUUGUUGCGAGCUGUAUCAUGGUACCUUCUGCCGUACUUGUCAGGAUCGCUAGUAGUCUCUUUGGAUGAAUGGAAAAGAUGGGUGAUGCGCAGCGGUCAGUGGUCAAAAGGCAGAGCAAUGAUGCCACAUUGUACUUGAGCAGAUUGUUGGAUCAGCACAGUGGGUGCUAAAAUUAUUUGAGGCAGGCAGUUAUAACAGCUAGGUGGGUCCGGUGGGAACUUUGCUUUUGAAGUAGGAAAAACUAAUAGUGUAUAUGUUUUCUGCUCUGUUUUAUCUGGAAAUGAACUUGAAAACUCCAAAUUUUUGUGACAAAUCCAACAAACGAAGGUCGAACUAUGCUAAUGCCUUCAUUAUGAUGAUUCAUAUUUUUAGUUUGUGAUUUGUAAUGCUCUUUCCGCUUUUUGAUUGUUAAACCUACAUGUUUUAGCAUUGUUCUUGUUGGAUUCAAAAAUUCAUUCCUUUAA